AUUGAACGCUGGCGGCAUGCCUUACACAUGCAAGUCGAACGCGAAAGGGGGCAACCCUGAGUAGAGUGGCGAACGGGUGGGUAAUGCAUCGGAACGUGUCCUGUAGCGGGGGACAACCCCGAGAAAUCGGGGCUAAUACCGCAUACGUCCUACGGGAGAAAGUGGGGACCGCAAGGCCUCACACUAUAGGGGCGGCCGAUGCCGGAUUAGCUAGUUGGUGAGGUAAGAGCUCACCAAGGCGACGAGCCGUAGCUGGUCUGAGAGGAUGAUCAGCGAAAAUGGGACUGAGACACGGCCCAGACUCCUACGGGAGGCAGCAGUGGGGAAUUUUGGACAAUGGGCGAAAGCCUGAUCCAGCCAUGCCGCGUGAGUGAAGAAGGCCUUCGGGUUGUAAAGCUCUUUCGGCCGGGACGAAAUCGCUUCCGCUAAUAUCGGGAGUGGAUGACGGUACCGGAAUAAGAAGCACCGGCUAACUACGUGCCAGCCGCCGCCGUAA
rnacentral:rRNA from 1 species